GGUUGAUUGAUCGUCUUCCCCAGAGACUCCAGGUGCAGAAAGAUUCUGGUGCUGGAAGCUUCCUAGAGGACUGGUCCCUAUCUGCUUCCCAGAGGAGCCAGCUGAGGAGGUGUGUCAUGCAACUUGCCGCCCCAGCCCUCCCCUUCUAAGGAAUCCCCACACCUGCUCUGUCUUCCUGCUACAGUCUCUGAGAAAAGCCCUUUCAUCUGUCAAGAACUACAAAAGUCAUUCUUUAAGUGCUAAAUAAACAAUGAAAUAGACACAAAGUUAAAGUUACCUGAUCCAAAAAGGAGUGAAGCCUAGACCCCAGCCCACUGACUCAGUCUCUAAGACCCCUCACUCAAAUCUUCAAUCAACAGUGGAGAUGGCUGUGAGCUCUUCUGAUUCCAGAUGACAAUACUCCUCCC
rnacentral:lncRNA from 1 species